rnacentral:lncRNA from 1 species
CUCUCCCUCUUUCUAGAAAAUACGUAAACACACCUCUCGAAAUGAGAGGAUCUGUGAUAUCAUACUUUCAUCAGAUCCAAAAAGGGUCAUGACGUUCUUGUAUUUUUCUAUCAUUCAUCUUUAUGAAAAUAAAGAAGAUCCGUCUCACUGAAGAUCGGGUGAAUCUUUUCCUUUAUCAUAUUUUUUACUUAAUGCAUCUUUCCUUAUACUAUUAAAUCUGGUCAUAAUCACCGUCAACAAUUGUAUUCGACUAUGUCUUUUAAUUCAUAUUAUUCAUCUCGGAUCUAGGGUUAAUUAUCCUUAAUUAGAAUUUACCACUUCAUCUUUGAUUGAUUUGUUCAAAAAAAAAUUAAUAUCUUUUGAGUCAAACAGGAAUGUUAUUCCAUGGGAAUUAGCUCAAUGGGUGGAGGAGAUUAGAUGGUAUUACUUUCUUGUUUGAUGAACGGAAAGAUCUCCAUAAGGAAGCUAGAAGAUGCUCCAGAAUGGAUCAAAAUCAAAUUUCUAAUUUUAGAAUUAGGAAAAAGCACAAGAAUGAAACUUCCUGAAGUUAUGUUUCUGCACAUUGGUAAUAGGGAGUUGUGCUCCCUCUUUUUUGGAAGCUUAUCUGUAUAUAUCUUGUCGAUCCGACCCUAGGAUCAACUUAUUUAUUUGGUGAUCAAUAUGGAAAUGACCUUACAUCAUGUAAUUAUUUGCUAACUCUAUGGCUAAGAAUACCUAACAUGCUUGUUGUAGAAGGA